CGCGGGGUGGGGCAGCCUGGUAGCUCGUCGGGCUCAUAACCCGAAGGUCGUCGGUUCAAAUCCGGCCCCCGCAACCA
rnacentral:tRNA from 2 species